AGAGUUUGAUCAUGGCUCAGGACGAACGCUGGCGGCGUGCUUAACACAUGCAAGUCGAACGAUGAAGCCCAGCUUGCUGGGUGGAAGAGUGGCGAACGGGUGAGUAACACGUGAGUAACCUGCCCUUCACUCUGGGAUAAGCGCUGGAAACGGCGUCUAAUACUGGAUACGACCCUUACAGGCAUCUGUUGGGGGUGGAAAGAUUUAUCGGUUCGGGAUGGGCUCGCGGCCUAUCAGCUGGAUGGUGAGGUAACGGCUCACCAUGGCGACGACGGGUAGCCGGCCUGAGAGGGUGACCGGCCACACUGGGACUGAGACACGGCCCAGACUCCUACGGGAGGCAGCAGUGGGGAAUAUUGCACAAUGGGCGAAAGCCUGAUGCAGCAACGCCGCGUGAGGGAUGACGGCCUUCGGGUUGUAAACCUCUUUUAGUAGGGAAGAAGCGAAAGUGACGGUACCUGCAGAAAAAGCACCGGCUAACUACGUGCCAGCAGCCGCGGUAA
rnacentral:rRNA from 1 species